AACCUCUACCUUUUGCCACAUUUUACAUUGACACUUACAUUAUUUGCCCCUAAACAGGUCAGCCCACAUGCUAUGACCAAAAUACCCCGUACCUGUCGAUUGGAGGACACCAGGUUAAGCUGUUCGUUCCCAUCGGCCAUCGCUUCAUCGCUCGAGCAGAGGAAGCAAGCGCUGGUCGGCGGUAACACUCACGGCGGCCCAAUCAGAGGAAUGGAGGGAGGUGGGCGGCGGGAUUGUGGUCAGCACGAUGACCACUCCUUGUCGAUGCAAGAUGACAGAUUUUGGAUGAAUUUCAAUGGCUAAUCUGCAGUAGCAACACCCUGUAGCAACCACAAUGCGGUCAAGGAAUCGGCGGAAAGGAGAGCUUAGGUGCUACAGCCGAGCUGGGGCUUGCGUGUGAUACAGCAGGGUUAGAGGAGGAGCUAGGAGGUGCGGCGCGGCAGUUGGGCGCAGGCGGCAGCAGCAGCUACCCGCGGAGGUGCAGCAGCGAGCGAAGACCGUAUACCAGAGAGCGGAGAUGCAGCAUUAAGAGAGACCGGAGACCGGAGAGGUGCGGCCGUGUCGCCCAAGCUGCAGCGAGCGGCGGCGCCGGAGGCAGCUGCGCGAGCAGCUAGUUGAGAUCUUCCCUGUCCCGUUCUGAAAAGAGGAGAAAAGAAUUAACGAUAUGAGUCUAUUCCAGAUGCAGCCAGGGGCAUUCGUGUCAUGUAGGUUUCCUGCAUCCUCAAAAGAAAAGAAAAUAAAUCAAAAGGGCAAAUAAUAUAAGUGUCAAUGUAAAGUGUGGCAAAAGGUAGAGAUCAAUGUAAAAGAGGGCAAAUUGUAGAGUGGCAAAGUAAAGAGUGGCAAAAAGUAAAAUUCCCCGCAGACCGAUGGCAGGGGAACGGCCGUGGCGGCGCCGCCCCUAUUGAUUCGUGCGAUUAAUGGUGUAGCAAUACGUCUCUUCAGUUCAAUCCGUUUCCUUCUGGCUGUUGAUGAUCAUUUCACCUCCUGCCUAUCUUCUCUCUCCCGGUUCCUCAUAUAAGCUGCCCAUAAUAUUCCUCCCGUCGUUCCUCAUGUUCUUUGAGUACUGUUAAUUUCGUAGUUCCUAGCUGCCCUUAUUCCUGCCUGCAAUGUCAUCGAUACCGCUCUAAUCCUUUGAUCCAACUUAUUAUUUGUUUGAGGAGUUGUCGUGCUCACUGGUUCUGGAGUUCUGUGAUGGAGGCCUCGACCUGCUCGGAUGAACUCAAUUUAUGAAAAAUGUCUUCUUGUCAGGUGUUUUUACAGGCAUCUGCUAGCUAGAGCUGCGGCAGGUGUGCUAUUGUAGAUCGCUAGGUGCGAAGGAUGGAUGUGUUACAACGGAUGCUUUGUUGGUGUUCACUCCUACUUCCAAGCCUUUGUCCAUCAGUGCUGCUCUUUCCUGAUGAGUAUAUCAACGAGGUGAAACAAAUAAUCACAAACUUGCUGCCUUGAUGGAUUGUAUGGAAUCUCCCUUCUGGUUAUCUUCUAUACCUUCAGUUUUUAGAUUCUACAUCGGAUUAUCUGGGAUUCAUGAAGCAUGUUCAAUAAAUCUGUUGGAACAUGAUAGUGUUCUCUGUAUUU